GUGGGGAAUCUUGCGCAAUGGGCGAAAGCCUGACGCUGCCAUGUCGCGUGAAUGAUGAAGGUCUUAGGAUUGUAAAAUUCUUUCACCGGGGAAGAUAAUGACGGUACCCGGAGAAGAAGCCCCGGCUAACUUCGUGCCAGCAGCCGCGGUAAUACGAAGGGGGCUAGCGUUGCUCGGAAUUACUGGGCGUAAAGGGAGCGUAGGCGGAUAGUUUAGUCAGAGGUGAAAGCCCAGGGCUCAACCUUGGAAUUGCCUUUGAUACUGGCUAUCUUGAGUAUGGAAGAGGUAUGUGGAACUCCGAGUGUAGAGGUGAAAUUCGUAGAUAUUCGGAAGAACACCAGUGGCGAAGGCGACAUACUGGUCCAUUACUGACGCUGAGGCUCGAAAGCGUGGGGAGCAAACAGGAUUAGAAACCCGUGUAGUCC
rnacentral:rRNA from 1 species